rnacentral:misc_RNA from 1 species
UUUUAUUCAAAUAAUAUAAAAAAUAAAAUAUAUAUAUUGACAUGGAUUAAACAAAGAUAUAUAUUAUUCUAUGUUGUAUAAACAAAUUGGCAAAAUAGAGAUGGAAGAUAAAAAUAUGGUCAAAGUAAUAAGAGUCUAUGGUGAAUGCCUAGGAGCUUUAAGGCGAAGAAGGUCGUGGUAAGCUGCGAAAAGCUUGGGGGAGAAGCAAACAUUUAUUGAUCCCAAGAUUACCGAAUGGAGUAAUCCAGCUAGCAAGAUGCUAGCUAUCUAUUAUUUAAAUAAUAGAGGCGAUACC